AUGGAGCCUUUACAGCGGCUGCUAUCCAAGCUGAAGGGCAAAAUCCCGAGCUACCGCGCGUCUCUCUAUGCCGACGAUGUCGCUAUCUUCAUCAACCCCGUGCGGCAAGAGCUAUGCGCCAUCAAGCAAAUCCUUCAAGUGUUUGGGCAGGCCACGGGACUGCGGGUCAAUUUCGGCAAGAGCGUGGCCAUCCCGAUCCGGCCGGAGCUGUUUGACGUCGACAACGUCAUCCUACCCCUGGGCGCCGCGCGCGCUUCCCUGCCGUGCCGCUUCCUGGGCCUUCCGCUAUCAUUGCGCAAGGUUCGGAAGACCGACCUGCAGCCGUUGCUCGACAAAAUUCUCGCCCGGUUGGCGGCCUGGAAGGUCAAGUUUUUCACCAUGGCCGGCAGGCUUGUUCUACUCAACUCGGUCCUCUCUGCCCUCACCGUCUAUUGGCUAUCGGUGCACCAUAUGCCGGCCUGGAUACGUCGCCAGAUUGAUAAAAUCAGACGGGCCUGGCUCUGGCGUGGCCAAGAGAGUUGUCACGGCGGCCAUUGUAAGGUCGCCUGGAGCAGAAUCUGCCGACCUAGAGAUCUUGGCGGGCUCGGCAUCAUCGACCUGGUUCGCUUCGGGGCGGUGUUGCGGCUAAGGUGGCUCUGGUGGGAGAAGACGGCUCACUCCAAGCCAUGGAUUGGGCUACCGGUGCCAUGCAGUCACAGUGAGCGGCUGCUGUUUGCGGCCUCCACGUCAGUAAGACUUGGGGACGGCAGGACGGCCUCCUUCUGGAUGGACAGUUGGCUACAGGGCUAG
rnacentral:rRNA from 1 species